rnacentral:rRNA from 1 species
AGAGUUUGAUCAUGGCUCAGGAUGAAUGCUGGCGGCGUGCUUAACACAUGCAAGUCGAGCGGCAGCGCGGAGAGUUUACUCUCUGGCGGCGAGCGGCGGACGGCUGAGUAACGCGUGGGAACAUGCCCCAAAGUGAGGAAUAAGCUCCAGAAAUGGAGUCUAAUGCCGCAUAUGAUCUUCGGAUUAAAGGAUUUAUCCGCUUUGGGAGUGGCCUGCGUACGAUUAGAUAGUUGGUGAGGUAAUGGCUUACCAAGUCUACGAUCGUUAGCUGGUCUGAGAGGAUGACCAGCCAGACUGGAACUGAGACACGGUCCAGACUCCUACGGGAGGCAGCAGUGAGGAAUCUUCCACAAUGGGGGCAACCCUGAUGGAGCAACGCCGCGUGCAGGAUGAAGGCCUUCGGGUCGUAAACUGCUUUUAUAAGUGAAGAAUAUGACGGUAACUUAUGAAUAAGCACCGGCUAACUACGUGCCAGCAGCCGCGGUCAUACGUAGGGUGCAAGCAUUAUCCGGAGUGACUGGGCGUAAAGAGUUGCGUAGGUGGUCUGUAAAGCGAAUAGUGAAAUCUGGGGGCUCAACCUCACAGACUAUUAUUCGAACUCACAGACUCGAGAGUGGUAGAGGUAACUGGAAUUUCUAGUGUAGGAGUGAAAUCCGUAGAUAUUAGAAGGAACACCAAUGGCGUAGGCAGGUUACUGGACCAUUUCUGACACUGAGGCACGAAAGCGUGGGGAGCGAACCGGAUUAGAUACCCUAGUAGUCC